GUCUGACAGAAAAAGAUAAUUUUUUUAAGUAUUUAAGAAUACAGACAACUUGUCAAAAGUUUCCUUGUGUCACACACAGAUAUGUACAAAGACACUAGACAGUAUUUUAUUACCUGGUAUUUUCACUCGAGGGGCCUGGGGAAACCAUUUUUUGUGGGCUGCUCAUCCUCUGAGUCACUAUAUGUGUACAGGGGAUUUGGUCUAAAGAAAAAAAGUUGAAAACGGUCAUAAGUAAUUACAAAUGUGCUUUUGGAAUAUUUUUUCCUAAAGUUACAGUUUGAUUUAUAACAACACACACAGGAAACGGAGAUGUGCAAGAAGGUACAGUAUACAAGGAAUUUUUGAAGUGCACAAGUGUACACGGCUUUGCAUUUAUAAAAAGUUUACAAGCUUCCACUUUUUGGACUAUAUUAUGUGGUGAUAUUGCAGAUAAACAGGAAACAGAUAAUUACAAUAUAUUUCAUAGUCACUACAAAACUUGAUCUAUUGAUUGAACUAAAUAAUAAAUAAUAGCUUAAAAUGUAUAUAGGCAACAAUUACAAGCAAACCCGUAUAUGUAAGCAUUUAAACACUGAAGAUAAUAAAAUUAACAGUAUUUUGUCUAAGUCUGCCAUUGUAGGAAUUCAUGGCACCGAGACAAAAACUUGGCGCACAGUGUGGCGUCAAAAUAGGCGCACACCUUUGACGCUGCGUUUUCUCCGUCUUCCUCGUCCACACGUAAAUGCUAAACGCAGUUUACGUGUGGACAAAAGGUGCAAACGCAAGUUAGGUGAGCGUGCAGCGUAAAGUUUGAAUUGAGUGCGAAUCGAAGCGGGUGCUCUCCAAUCAUUAAAAGUAACAAAGUCAUUGAACACAUUUAUACAGUUACCUUUACGUUUAUCAAUCAUAUAUCACAGAUUUACAAUUUUUUGUAGUACUAUGCUAAAAAGCAACUACAGAGCGAAAGUCUGGGUCAAG